UUAGGGAAUGAAGUGGGAUAACUGAAACAGAAGAGUUCAUUCAAGUUGUUGAAAGCUGACUUCUCAUUCUGUCCUGACAGAGGAAAGGGACUGCCAUCUCAUUAUUUCCAGGUGCAACCUGAUUUCUUUACAAGCAAGCAUCAGCAGUUUCAGCAGACUGUUUCAAAUUUGUGAACUCUAGCAAAGCUCUGGUUCUGAAUCUAUUCAAUGUGAUCAUCCUUAUUCCUUCUUUCUCAUGUUCAGGCAGGGUAGAAUUACAAUCCCGAAUACACCAAAGUCCUAGAAUUAAAACGAUCUCAUUUCUCUUGUGUGGAAAAAAAUAAGGUUCAGUUUCACAUUUUAAAUAAAGUCUCUACUGUCAUUUUAAGGUAAAAAAAAUCUCUCUUCAUUGAGUAAGAGGUAAACAUGACACCUCUAUAAUACAAGUUACAUUUCCUUUCCGAAAAAAAUGCUGCAGAAUCACAUCGUCUUUCACAUUGAAAAGCAUUUUCAAUGGCUUUCCUGCAGUUGAUGUAGGACUGAGCAGGUUGUUGGUCCUGCUUGUCACCCACUCAGCUCUCUGAGAGCUCACAUUCACAAAGCCCUCAAAGCCUGGCUACACCUUCUAAAGGCGUACUUGUGUACUUCACAUCCAAAAAACAUUAACCUUCUCAUACUAAAGGUAAAAUGCUUAGGUAAUUUACAUUACUUAUGAAUAGAAAGUUUUAUGGUGGCAUGCAUUAGCACUGUGCAAAUGUUUGUAUCACUGUUUCAUACUGAGAGCCGUUAAACCCUUUUUAGAAUUAAUCUCACAUCUAUUGAGUCAAUUGUGGUGGUACUUAAAUAUUUUUCCUGUACUGGAUUCAACUUGAAGCUCCCAUUGUUUCCAAUAUCACACCCUAAAGACUUGAGAAAAGAAAUUAGAAAAAAAGUAAACAAAAAAUAGAAUCAGUUUCAACAAUUAGAUAUAUAUGGUUGAUGAAAAAUAUAUAAUUGCAGCACUGCAAAGACUGAAGCUAAAGUACACAUUUUAUAUAUCAAAGACAUUGAAUGGUGUGCAUUAUAAAAUCCUUACCUUUGAAAGAAAAAUCACGUAAUUUCCAUUUAAACUUGAAGCACUGGUAUUCAAUGAAGUUAUAUUACAAAUGAGAUUAUAGCAUUAUUCACAUAAACUUAUUUUAUCCCAAAGUCCUCUGUUCUUUUAUCAUUUUGUAACCCCCACAAUGCCUGAGACAUAGUAAGUGUUCAAAUACACACACAUAUAUAUACAUACCUAAAUUAAGAAUAAAAUAAUUUGCACUAUUUCAUGGAAAUACACAUAGGGGAUUAUACUCAGACUUUUGCUUUAUCAACAAACCAAUAUGUGAUUUGCAAUACAUCCCUUUUAAUCAAUCUUAAAGUAAAAAAUGGCAACAUUUUUCAUCUUAGUGAGAGUAUGUUAUGACUGAUGAAUAGAAACAUUCCUAUUGUCUUAGCAGGUCUAGUCCUACACAAAAUAAAAAUAUUUGUAUCAGACUUGUAGAGAUUGAUAUAAUACAUUGAAAUAUUCCAAAUUUGUUAGCUCUCACCCUAUACAUAAAAAAACCCUCUUUAUAACAAAAGAUUCAUUCAAAAGAAAAGAAAAUGCAUUAACUAUGUGCACGAUUUGGGUUUAUGUACAGUUAUAUUGCCAAGUAUAAAAUAAUAGCAUGCUAUUUUCCUUAAGUAAGGGGUCCAUUAUUUGGACACUUUUUAUUUUUUUUAAAAAGGAGCAGACCAUAUACCCAGCAAGUACAUGUGUGCACAAAUACACAAUUAAAAGAAAUUCAGGGACUUCCCCCCACCCCCAGGAGGUUGUUUUCCCUAUUCCCACCAUGAAAAUGUGAUGGAACUUUAAUGCUAGGAUUUUGGCAGAAUCAAGUAUAUGGAUCUAUCUUCCCUGGAGAUGUGAAACAGUAUAUAUCACUGAUCACCAAUGUAAAUUAAUUGGAAAUAAAUGGAUCUACCCCAAAAGAACUUCACAUAAUUCUAACUCUUUGGAAUCUUCUUUCAUUUAGUGAAAGGAACAAUUGUAAAAUUCCUUAGACCCUGUUAUCUGUAACUAAGCCCAACAUUCAGGACUUUAAUUAGAAGUUGGAAGGUAGGAUGUGGAAGUCGUAAUAGAUACUGUUGUGGAAAUUUCUGGUUCUGGGUCUUCAUCGUUUUUUGUGGAGAUAGGAGAAAAAUUAUUUACUUGAAUAUGCAAAUUUAUUUUCCAUUCAAGCCCUGACUUGAAUGGUUAUAAAAUCAGAGUGGUUAUAAAAUCCAGGAGUGGCACUGGUGUUGUAGUACCAGUUUUUGUGUUUUUUUUUAUUUUCCUUAAAGUUCUUUCUCUUUACUUUUAUCCUUACCUUACCUGUGGCAGGCUUCGAAGAGUCUUGUCACUUGCACUGUGUCUGGGGCUACUCUUCAGAAGCAGCUGUUAGCCCUAUGACCUGCAGGUGAUGGUGCCGGGCUCAAAACUCUGGGUUGCACUAUUAGAUUUGUCAUUCAUUCACUGUGUUCUCUCAAACAAGUUGCUUUCUCUGCCAGUCCUUUGUCUCCUCAUUUCUGAAAUAAACUAUUUGGACUAAAUGAAGUCCAGGAUUCACUUGAGCAUUAUAUAGGUUGCAUGUGGUCUCACAUUUCCUCCUGAUCAGAACAUCCAAGACAUUGUAGUUUAUAAUUUGGCUUCUGUUCGUGGCAUUUCCCCAUUCACACACACUGAAAUACCUCAAAUGCAGGUGGCAGCAGAGAUGGGAACGUGCGCUUCAGAAACUCCAGUGUUGUCUUUCUAGUAUGGUAGCUUCCAGACACAAGCUGGUUAUUUUGCAAUUUAGUGCAACUGAGGUAGUGAAUUUUAAAUUUUGUUUAAUUUUAAUGAUUUCAGUUCAUUUGUUGGACAAAAUUAAGCAUCUUCAGAGCAACUUGGAUAUCCAGUUUACCUUUAUGAACUUUGAAUUUUAUGAAAUGUAAAUAUAGAUCAAGUAUAUAGACAGACAUGUAGCAUUCAUACUGAAAUUUUCUGUGAGUCUAACAUAAACACCAGAUUUUGAUGACUCAGAAUAAAAAAGAAGGUAAACUAUCUCAUUAAUAUUUUUUAUAUUG